rnacentral:rRNA from 1 species
CUUGAAACACGGACCAAGGAGGCAAGUCGUUGGGUGAAUAAAACCCAAAGGCAAAAUGAAAGUAAAGAGUUGAGCAUAAUUUAAAAAAAAAUUUUUUUUUUAUGCUCCUCUUAAGGGAAGAUAGAAAUUGCUUUAAUAAUAGUUGUACUUUAUAACUAUUCGUUAAUGUAAAUUUCUUGCACUCCCAGGGCGCUUGUUUAACGCUUGCGUGGCAAUGCGCACCUAGAGCGUACACGCUGAUACCCGAAAGAUGGUGAACUAUGCCUGGCCAGGACGAAGCCAGGGGAAACCCUGGUGGAGGUCCGCAGCGAUUCUGACGUGCAAAUCGAUCGUCGGAGCUGGGUAUAGGGGCGAAAGACCAAUCGAACCAUCUAGUAGCUGGUUCCCUCUGAAGUUUCCCUCAGGAUA